AGGACAAAUAUACAUAUUGAUGGUUCUAUUUUCAGAAUGCACGACUCCAUUAGUCAAUUUAAGAUGGUACUUGGAUUUGGCUGGACAAAAGGGCUCUAAACUCUACAUGUUUAAUCGCAUUGCUAUGUUCCUGUCUUGGCUGGUUGGAAGGAUCUUUCUGUUCAUCUAUCUCAUCGUCCACAUGUUUCUCCAUUUUGACGAGGUAAAU